GUGAAUGAUGAUAUAUGCACUGGGCUCUGAGCAGUUUUUUGACUGCAUUAUUGAUGGUAAUGCAGCCUAGAAAGCUACAUCUGACCC